UUUUUUGAGGAACUGAGCAAGAAAAGGGGCCAUGAGAACUACAUUUUGGUCUGAUACCAAAACCAUUUCCAUCAUUACCAUAACCAAACUUGAAGCUGUAGUUACGGAUUAACUUGACGCUGCAGUAGUUACGGAUCUGGCUAGGUUAUGUAGGCGCUCGUCCCCUCUCUGGGAUAUCAAUUUGAAUGGCGGGCUCGACUUUAUUUAUGGCAAAAAGAAAAAAAUUAAUGAAUUUUACAAUCGUUUGAAAGUAAGAAAAAGAAGGAAUUUCUGCUUUGUAAGAGGGAUUGAGGGAUCCAGUCACA
rnacentral:lncRNA from 1 species